rnacentral:rRNA from 1 species
GACGAACGCUGGCGGCGUGCUUAACACAUGCAAGUCGAACGGAAAGGCCCUGCUUUUGUGGGGUGCUCGAGUGGCGAACGGGUGAGUAACACGUGAGUAACCUGCCCUUUACUUGGGGAUAACUUCAGGAAACUGGGGCUAAUACCGGAUAGGAGCUCCUGCUGCAGGGUGGGGGUUGGAAAGUUUCGGCGGUUGGGGAUGGACUCGCGGCUUAUCAGCUUGUUGGUGGGGUAGUGGCUUACCAAGGCUUUGACGGGUAGCCGGCCUGGGAGGGUGACCGGCCACAUUGGGACUGAGAUACGGCCCAGACUCCUACGGGAGGCAGCAGUGGGGAAUAUUGCACAAUGGGCGGACGCCUGAUGCAGCAACGCCGCGUGCGGGAUGACGGCCUUCGGGUUGUAAACCGCUUUCGCCUGUGACGAAGCGUGAGUGACGGUAAUGGGUAAAGAAGCACCGGCUAACUACGUG